GUGCCAGCCGCCGCGGUAAGACGUAGGGGGCCAGCGUUGUUCGGAAUUACUGGGUGUAAAGGGUUCGUAGGCGGUGUGGCAAGUCGGGAGUGAAAUUUCUGGGCUCAACUCAGAGACUGCUUCCGAAACUGCUGUGCUGUAGUGUGGGAGAGGCGCGUGGAAUUGCAGGUGUAGCGGUGAAAUGCGUAGAUAUUGGGAGGAACACCGGUGGCGAAAGCGGCGAGCUGGAUCACUACUGACGCUGAAGAACGAAAGCUAGGGGAGCAAACAGGAUUAGAUACCCCUGUAGUCC
rnacentral:rRNA from 1 species